rnacentral:rRNA from 1 species
GAUGAACGCUGGCGGCGCGCCUAACACAUGCAAGUCGAACGGUGACGGGGGCUUCGGUCCCCUGAUCAGUGGCGGACGGGUGAGUAACGCGUGAGUAACCCGCCCUUAUGAGCGGAAUAACGUUUGGAAACGAACGCUAAUACCGCAUGAUGCAUUUUUGCGGCAUCGCAGAAAUGCCAAAGAUUUAUCGCAUAAGGAUGGACUCGCGUCCCAUUAGAUAGUUGGCGGGGUAACGGCCCACCAAGUCAGCGAUGGGUAGCCGGACUGAGAGGUUGAACGGCCACAUUGGAACUGAGAAACGGUCCAG